GUAAGGCCCUUCGGGGUACACGAGCGGCGAACGGGUGAGUAACACGUGAGCAACCUGCCCCUGACUCCGGGAUAAGCGGUGGAAACGCCGUCUAAUACCGGAUACGACCCGCCACCUCAUGGUGGAGGGUGGAAAGUUUUAUCGGUCAGGGAUGGGCUCGCGGCCUAUCAGCUUGUUGGUGGGGUAACGGCCUACCAAGGCGAUUACGGGUAGCCGGCCUGAGAGGGCGACCGGCCACACUGGGACUGAGACACGGCCCAGACUCCUGCGGGAGGCAGCAGUGGGGAAUAUUGCACAAUGGGCGAAAGCCUGAUGCAGCGACGCCGCGUGGGGGAUGACGGCCUUCGGGUUGUAAACCUCUUUUACCACCAACGCAGGCUCCACGUUCUCGUGGGGUUGACGGUAGGUGGGGAAUAAGGACCGGCUAACUACGUGCCAGCAGCCGCGGUAAUACGUAGGGUCCGAGCGUUGUCCGGAAUUAUUGGGCGUAAAGAGCUCGUAGGCGGCAUGUCGCGUCUGCUGUGAAAGACCGGGGCUUAACUCCGGUUCUGCAGUGGAUACGGGCAUGCUAGAGGUAGGUAGGGGAAACUGGAAUUCCUGGUGUAGCGGUGAAAUGCGCAGAUAUCAGGAGGAACACCGGUGGCGAAGGCGGGUUUCUGGGCCUUACCUGACGCUGAGGAGCGAAAGCAUGGGGAGCGAACAGGAUUAGAUACCCUGGUAGUCCAUGCCGUAAACGUUGGGCGCUAGGUGUGGGGACUUUCCACGGUUUCCGCGCCGUAGCUAACGCAUUAAGCGCCCCGCCUGGGGAGUACGGCCGCAAGGCUAAAACUCAAAGGAAUUGACGGGGGCCCGCACAAGCGGCGGAGCAUGUUGCUUAAUUCGACGCAACGCGAAGAACCUUACCAAGGUUUGACAUCACCCGUGGACCUGUAGAGAUACAGGGUCAUUUAGUUGGUGGGUGACAGGUGGUGCAUGGCUGUCGUCAGCUCGUGUCGUGAGAUGUUGGGUUAAGUCCCGCAACGAGCGCAACCCUUGUUCCAUGUUGCCAGCACGUAAUGGUGGGGACUCAUGGGAGACUGCCGGGGUCAACUCGGAGGAAGGUGGGGACGACGUCAAGUCAUCAUGCCCCUUAUGUCUUGGGCUGCAAACAUGCUACAAUGGCCGGUACAAUGGGCGUGCGAUACCGUAAGGUGGAGCGAAUCCCUUAAAGCCGGUCUCAGUUCGGAUUGGGGUCUGCAACUCGACCCCAUGAAGGUGGAGUCGCUAGUAAUCGCGGAUCAGCAACGCCGCGGUGAAUACGUUCCCGGGCCUUGUACACACCGCCCGUCACGUCAUGAAAGUCGGCAACACCCGAAACUUGUGGCCUAACCC
rnacentral:rRNA from 2 species